ACGACGACAUUUGACGAUCAACGAUCGACGAUCGAGCUUCUAGACGCUCAGUACUUUUAAUUUCAAUACCUCUUCACAAUUGAGUCUCUAGUCGAAUAUAUUCGAAAUAAAUGUGACAGAUAGCUUGUGGAAUUGAGUUUGUUGUUCGUUAAAUUGUUUUAGUGUAUUUACUUCUCCUAACGCGGCACAACGAAUUAUUGUUUUGUUAUAAAAAUUUCGCUCAUUGUUUGUCAUCUUUGUUUAGAUCUAAAAACACCCCCACCACAGCCGCCGCGCCGCGCCUUACUACUCCGAUUCUAAUUAACCGAGUAUUGUGAUUUUUGUUUAAAAACUUUUUUUAACUUAGUUAUGCAUUGGAUAUUCUUCCAUCAGCCAGUCAUCACUCAGGAUGUGAACGAGCUAAAGCGAAAAUUUAAAAAAAAAAAGUCACGCGAAAUGCUUCUGCCAACGAAUUUUAGCGUCUUAGUUUCGGAAAUUCCUUAUCGUAGUUCUAAAUUUCAGGAAACGACAAACGAUUCUGAGAUUUUUAACAAUAUAUCACGCAGUAAAAAUCGUUUACUCAAAUCGAUCUCUCCGUAUAGACUGAAUGAUGAGAAUUUGGUAGAACUUGCACCGCUCUUGCCGUUCUUAGUGAUCUUGACCAUUCUCUUUCUUUUAUUGCUGGCUGUAAGUUUUCAGCGCUGGCCAGGUUUGGUAGCGGGUGUUGUAGCCGGUUGUCUAACAUCAUUGACUGUUUACUUGAUAAUGAGUACACUUGCUGGGGAUAUUCCGUUGUAUGAAUAGGACAUGAAUGUUGGGACUAUUUUUAUAGCCUCGGUGGCGCAGUAGGCAGCGCUUACGUUUUGUUCUAUAAAUGACGAAUGCCAAAAAAGCGACAACAUAACAGAACUUUCACUGACCGAAAUGACGUUUCUCACAUCUAGAUCUACGCCAGAGUAAAAGAUCCCGUGGUCACCAAAUUGUACGUCAUUUGUUUCACAGUCAGGAAUAUUUCAAUAAUACACACUAUGUUACGUGAGAUUAUAUCUAAUUGGCAGAAGCAACAAAUAUUGCAUCGUCUAAAAAGUUUUGGGGGGAGCACAUAUCAAAGUUAUAUGCA